UCUUCCUCUCGCCUCCUCCUUCUCUUCCUCUUCCGCUCCCUCCGCGUAGCCCCUCCACCUCCCUCCUCCUUCGACGGCGCCUGGUCCAGAUCGGGCUCAGGUCGUCGCCUGGUCCAGAUUAGGCUCAGGUCGUCUCCAUUGAGAGCAGGGGUGAACAGCGGGAAGCGGUGGGGAGAAGUGAGCGGCAGCCAACAGGGAGAGGCGGAGAGCCAUGACAUGGUGGACAGCGGGAAGCGGUGGGGAGAAGCGAGCGGCAGUCGACAGGGAGAGCCACGACGAUGGCCGGCUUCAGCUGCCACUUCCUCCCCUCGUCGGCGCCGCGAGGCCACUGAGCCCACGCCCGAGCUUCCCGUCCGUGAGCAAUCGCUUCGCCCACCGGCCGUCCCCAUCCGUGUGCUUCUUCUCGGGACGUCGAUGCCACGGAGCUCGUCAAGCUCCCUCUCUGCCGCUACAGGAGGAUUGGAUUGGAUUGGUUUGUACUUGCUCUAUUAUCUAUUUGAGAAUCUGAGAUGCGGCCCUCCAAAUCUUCGGCCCCAGAAGGAGGAUUUGAGAGUGGAGAAGGGUCACCUGAAUGUGAUUUGGAGGAAGGAGUUGUCCAGGAAUCAAAAUGUUAUUAUUUUACUAUUCUGCAGGGGAGAAUCUAAAGAUUAUUUGUUUCUUUUUAUGCCUGCAGAUCGUGUUUAGUGUUUGGGAUUCACACCCUGCAUUGAUAAGGUCUGAAUUUAACAUCCACUUUUAACACUGGGUUCCUCAAGUGUUUCAGUUUGUACUUUGCCGACGUACAAUCUAUUCGCCACAUUUUCUAGCACACUUAUUCCAACUGAAGUCAGCUCCUGCUUGCACUUCUCCACUGAGUGAAUGCUAAUAGUUCUAAAAAGAUAAACCACCCAUAGAAUUGGUUCUAAUUAGAUCCUCUGAAAGAUGCAAGUAGCUAGAGUACCUUAGUCCAUAGGAGUCCUGGAAUUGGUUCAGAAGUUCUUGAGUAAAUUGGAUCAGUGAGAAUAUUAAUUGAGUCGCUGCUCAAGAAACAAAUUAGAAUAACGACAAUGUAGCUAAUACCAUUUGUCCCUGCAUGAUGUAUUUUGAUCUCAAAUGCAUUUAUAUGGCUUGAUUUUUGCAGAGAUCUUGUCACCUGCGCCCUUGUUUGGUCGUACAUAAAAUUGUCAUCUUGCUUUAAAUUCAAGUGGUCAGGUCUUUGAUAGUACGCAUGGCUGAACCCACCUUUUGUUGAAUUUGGGAACCAUCUAAUAUAGCUAUUUUUUAAGAAGGAGCUUGAACAGAUCUCAGUAUAUGUUAAUUUUGUAGAAAAAGGAGCCUGACUGACUAGGUAAUUCCCAACGAACUGAAGCAGCUAAGCUUGCAGGCAUGUGUAGGCAUGUGAACUAUAAACAGAACCAAGUUCUGCAUAUAUUGUAUUUGCAGAAAAUGUUUUUGGCCUGUACGGUUCUAACAAAUUUGAGGUGAUAAAUUCUGAACACUAAAAGAAUUGGUUUUGUAGGACCAGUUUUCUUGUAUGACCUUGCACUACUGUAUUGAUUUUCUUGUACUUGCAUGGUCGGACUAAUAAUCAGCAAAGUACAUUACUAAUUCAAUAGGACUAAUUUAUUUGAACUAAAGCCUUAGUAUGUAUGUUCAUAAUAUGUGCAGAUCACCACAUGUAGACUAUUCAUUCCUUGCCAAACCGCACAUGCUAGCUAAUGUUUGAAGAUGACGUUGUAAAAAAUGCAUAAGCUAGGGAUGCCAUGGUGAUGCUGCUGGUCGAGAAGUACGCAUGUACUUCCUCCAGCCCAUAAUUUCAAUUUUAUCUUGUUGAAUGGCAAAUUUAUGCUUGGCUAGGUUCGGAUUCUGGCGUUUAGUGCAUCCGCACUAAACUGAUUGCUGGAUUUGGUAGGGGGUGAUAUCAUUUCGUUCAUGGGUGAACCUGAACACUGAUGUAGCUUCCCAGAUUCCUCUACGCUCCAGUCAUUCAUAUAUUUUGUGAUGCCUUAGUUCUAUCUUCAGGAAUAAAUUUAGCAUCAACACGGUGAUUUGAGAAUGCAAACAAGCACAAUAGGAUCUUCCAUGUCAAUUGGUAUAUUUAUCUCUCUCCUUUUAGAUUCCCUGCUAAAUGAAAUUUCCAAUGACGCUUGAUUAUGGUACAUGCUAAAGAAUUAGUGGUGGCAUUUGGUUAUUUUGUACAGUACUUCUGAACACUAAAAGAAUUAGCUUAUUCAAUUUCUUCCAUUGUUGUGCCCGCCACUGAUGUUCUCUAUGGUUCCCUUGGUUGCAGUUCCCUCCUUACCUGCCAAUGCUUCCUCCUGCCUUGCCUGCGUGUGUCCUCACCUUUGUUCAUCAAUUCGUGUGCAGGUAUGGAUUGGUGAUGUUUUUGACGCCCAUAGAUCCAUUACCUCGUGCAUGUGUAUUUUGUGUGCCAGUUUACCAGUUAGUGAGUGAUAAUGUCCGUAUGAAUGUUUCAUCGUUUAGCAAGUGAUCGGCAACAGGCAUCUCUUACUUUUGGAUUGAAGUGCAGAUCUUGCUAAAGAGUUGACCAUGGAGUCAUUUAUGUAUUCUUAUGCCCCAAUGCUUCAUUAAGUAUUCUUAUUAUGCAAUAUAAAAUUAUUUCUUACCGUCUUCUAUUGUUUCCUCUGUUUUUCUCAGUUAUUCAGAGAACCCCACAUGUUACAUGAAUUCUAGACUACUUUCCUAGAGGUAGUUGUUAGAAUCAUCUUCUUGAAUUUGCCUGCUUAGCAUCUAAUAUUUCACACUCGCCAAUUGUAAUAUCUCAUGCUUGCCAAUUUUUAGAAUCAGGUUCUUGAGUUUGCUUGCUUAACAGUGUCCCUGUGCAAUUGCUCACCAACCUCACCAAUUGUGAGUUUGUCCCACGUAGUGGAGUUUCUGUGAGUUUUUAUAGUCUAUAAAUUCUUGGAAGUUCUCUUGUUGCUGCUAUAAUGUGGGUGUGUUCGGCUUCCUUCUUCAUUUAAGGUGAAUCCUUGCUUCCAGGUUGGCCUAUGAAAUGAUGUAGUUUCUGCUGGAAAAUAAGUUGUUAUGCAAUUAUAGUUAGGUUGCCAAUUUUCCUUCAUAACUGCAUUUAAUGGUGGCUGUUAUGCUCACUUUGCUCAAAGAAAGGUUGUCUAGCCAAGCUACUUUGUGAUUUAAGAAAUAGGCUGACACCAAAUCAGUAAUCCCCGACUUCUGCUUUGUUGGCCGAAAUUUACUAAUUUUGUUUUUCUUGUUAUCUUUAGCCAUUCCAAAACAUUUAUCUGGUUCUGUAGAAUUACAGACCAUAGAAUUAUAGCUGGCCAUAUUUUUGAAUGCGUGAACCUCACAUAGAUAUCAUGCUAAUGUAGUUUGACGGACGUUGUAAAACCAAUGGAUAGGCAUCGUCUUCUACUAAGGCUCCUUUCACCCUUCUUUAGAACCCAACAAGCAUUCAUCAAAAAAUUAAAGAUCUUGGUUGGUGAUUCGUUUCAAUGGCCGGUAUAGUAAGGCUACAUUAAUUAUCAUAUUAUUUUUCAUUUCUUUUUUGCUUGCCCUUGUUUCACAACCUAAUACUGAUUGAUCAGGUACAUUGCAAUGAGUGCUUACUUAUGUUUUGUCUCCUGUUAUUUUUUGAUUCCAGUCUUCAUACUUUCAGACACCUUUGAUAAUAUAGGAAGAAGAAAGUAUUCGCUCCAGACGAAGAUGUCUAGCUUUCUUGUGUGCUAUAACAUUAAUCAGUGCAUCGGGCCCAACAUUUUCUAUCAUUGGAACCUUGAUGAUUUAUAUCAUUUGAACAUAAUCUAACCCCUCUGAUUUUUGUCAGUACAUGAUUGUACACCUCCUAUGCCCGCUUAAUUGUGUGUUCAUUUUGUUAAUCAAGAAGCAUCUGAUUUUAUGGAUGGGUACGCUAAAAACAUCUGUGCAUAGCGUAAUGCUCCAGCAUGACCGCUUCAUGUGUUGCCUCGAGUCGCGCAGCCACUACGCUCCCGCCGAGGCGGAGGCAGCUGCCACUCUCGACGCCCUCCGUUGCACGCUCUCGCCGGCGGCAUUUGCAAAGCCUUGUCACCGCGCUGCAAGUGUUGCCCCCCUCCUCCCCAAGGGCAAGGUGAAGAAAGGUGCCUGUGUGGUUCUUCUGCAGCUCACAGCGAGGAUUGUUGUGUCCAACCUGCACAAUAAUGCCAAGAAGUCCUUGGAGACGUAAGCCACGACGCAUGUUUCUGCCAUGAUUUCCUUCAGUUGGUUUUCGUGGAUUUAGGUGUUGAAAAAUUAUGGGAUGUAGAUGCAGGAUUAAGGACAUGUACCUGCACUACAACGAGAGAUCUAGGUUGCUUCUUUGUGGCUUCCAAACUUGAAAUUUUUGUUUGGAAGUUAGUUUAGUUUUUUGUUGUGGAUUCACAUCUUCUCACAUGUACCAUCCUCUUAGACCUUUAGAUUUCCAAAAAAACUAAAUGAAGAUAUGGUGGUAUGGUCUCAAUAGUACAACUUAAAGCCUUGCAUUCUUUA